UUUUACCUCAUUUUUACUUCAUUAUUUUUAUAUUACAUUAUUGUAGAUAUAGGUACGUAUGUAAGCGAGGUUACUUCGAUAUUACUCAUUAUACCUAUACCUACAUUCGUAUAGGCGUCUUGAAAAGCGCGGUAUGUAAUGUCAAGAUUUUAAAAUUAAUACUGAUCAAAACACGUGAGAAAAAUCACCGGCAUUGCAGCAUUUCGAUACAGAACCAUUGAACGAGAAUUUUUCUUCCCACUCUUGCAAGCCUUAUUCCGUACGUACAUGUAUAGUACCUGUAAUGUACUUUGUAACUUUACUUUGUCCGACGAUGUCCUCGAGACAUGUGCACGCAUUAUAAAGGUCGAGAAAAAUGCGGUGUGAAUAAUCAUUAUGAUGGCCAUGAUCACUUGUGAUGUAUGCGCCUCACGUGUGGUGGUAAGAAAUCGCAUGAGUGAUGUAAAGAAAGAAGAGAAAGAUAAAAACUAUGCAGACUAAGAAUUUCUGUUACAUUUUUACGCGCGCUCAAACUAUUUAUCUGCUCAAAUAAAUCAUUUCCACGCACGGCUAAAAACUUUUUUAGAAAAGGCCAGAGAAUGCCUGCGUGGAAAGUGGACUAUAUUAUUAUACUGCAUACACAGUGCAAACAAAUUAUUUAAAUGUAUUUGAAUGAUUACCCCCCUCAUGCGAUGAAAAUAAAUUUAAAAGAUGGAUGAAACAAAAAAUAUAUAUAAAAAAACAGGAAAUUACGUAAGUAAUUUGCAACUGUGAAACACACGUGCCGCGUUGAAUUUUCGGUUGUUAAAUAAUUUUGUCAUUUCACUGAGCGUAGUUUUCCGUCACUGAUGAAACAUUUGCUCAUGUGCUCGUCACCCGGCAUACAUACCAAUCACAUACGAGUACAUACACAAUUCGUAUACCUACAUUUGAUUAAUUGAACUUUGUUUUUUUCGCAUAUCAGAAAUGAAUAUGUGGUACGUUCGUAUACUCAAGGACCAUCCUCAGAUGCCUUGAAAAAUUAUGUCUUCAGCCACUGCUGGUCUGCGGGGUGCCGUAGACCGUCUCGUAUCUCUUAACGAUAAAAGGGACAAACGAAGGGACGUACGAGAGAAUUAGGCAUGUUUCGGACUUUACCCUGAAAAGAAUUCAUCCUAAUUGUUUGAUCCUCCGCUGUAUUUUCUAGCCACGUGUUUCUGCAGACACAAGGAUCUUCUUUUCAUCUCCUUGGAGACCCAUUAAGUCGGAGACAGGUUUAUGACACAAGUCUAGGGAAAGGCCUGCCGGCCUAACUUUCAAGAACAUAACCCAGACUCGGAGCCUUUGCCUCAUUGUUGUUG